rnacentral:rRNA from 1 species
GACCUCAGAUCAGGUAGGGAUACCCCCUGAACUUAA